CAAUCAUAUGCUUGUCUCAAAGAUUAAGCCAUGCAUGUCUAAGUAUAAGUGUUUAUACGGCGAAACUGCGAAUGGCUCAUUAUAUCAGUUAUAAUCUACUUGAUUAAUCUUUUUACUUGGAUAACUGUAGGAAUUCUAGAGCUAAUACAUGCAAAAAGUUCGGAUGGGGGCAACCUCAGAAGAACGCGUUUACUAGACCAGAAACCAAGAUAGGGCGUUAACUUCGGGCAACCGAGGGUCCUAUUCAAAAAGAUGAUUCAUAGUAAGUUUGACGUGAA
rnacentral:rRNA from 1 species